AUUCACCACAUUUUGAAAUAAAAGUCACCAUGCGAAGUAGUUUUCGGCUCUUUUUGGCAACCCUGACAUGGUGAACUAUUUUUUCACCUCUCAGAAAAUAGCAACAUCUGGGAGCUCUUCUCAUGUUUAUAUUCAGAAAUGUCAAACUGCACGGUUCUUGAUUUUGGCGCAGGAGGAACAGCAGCGGAAUAAUCUGAUCGAUCCGAUCUUGCCAGAUUAAACGGGUGGUUCUGGCCAACUAGGCGGAACAGAAAUCACUCGUUAACAUUGAUUUUGGACGUAGGAAGUUUGUCGCUAGUCUUCGUAAUUUUCUGUAAAUUAAAAACAUGUCGGUGUUUCUCCAACACUAGAGGAGGCCGCAAGUCAUAUUCCCUGAAACGCAGGAUUAUGCCCGGAGGGCAUGGUCAGCCGGAGAAGAUGUGAAAUGUAAGCAAGAUCCCCAACGCGCCCGUUGUCGGCGUUUUUCUGGCUCUGCCACGACGGACGAAACCUGACGGAGCAAGUUUCACUUGGAGUAGGUACAGCGGAAAAGUAGGGACGAAAGUGGUACGACAAAGAUGCGGAAUGAGGAAGGACAAGGUGCAGUUCCAGGUUCGAUUAAAGUAGAGUGUCCAAGUACAAGCUGAAAUGCUAAAACAGAGCGGCACCCCGGUUCACCUCGUUGGCCUGCAGCAAAACAGCGACCAAAACCAAGUCCAGAUCCUGCCCUCAGUCAGCGCAGUGGCCCAAUAGCAAGUGCAAAUUCAGCAUAGGAGCAACUGGUCACGGAAUCGGUCGCUAUAUCGGUAAGAAAAAGUUACCAGAAAUUGACAUUUUUCCUCUUCUUGGCGUAACGUCCCCACUAGGACAAAGCCUGCUUUAGUGUUCUAUGAGCACUUCCACAGUUACUAACUGCGAGCUUCCUCUGCUAAUGACCUUUUUGCGUGUGUAUAUCGUGUGGCAGGCACGAAGAUACUCUAUGCCCAAGGAAGUGAAGGAAAUUUCCAUUACGAAAAGUUCAUGGAACGACCGGGAAUCGAACCCGUCACCCUCAGCAUGAUCAUGCUGAAUACCCAUGCUGAGGGUGACUGAUUCGAUUACAGUAUUGACUUUUUUUUUUUUUUUAAUAUCAUCCAUCUUUUUCUCUUGCUUCUUCAGUGAUUCCCACCAGGGAUUCCUCCAGACAUUCUCACCGGGGAUGCAUUUAGCGAUCCCCAACGGAUAUUCCUGCACUCAAUUCCACCAAGUAUUCCUUCAGGUAGGGAUGGGAGCACCCACCUACCAGGAGAAAUCCCUGGUGGGAGUGUCUGGAGAAAUCCCUGGUCGAAAUUACUGGAGGAAUCCCCGGUGGGAUUUCUCCAGACAUUUCCACCAGGGAUUCCUCCUAGCAUUCCCACCGCGGGUUCCUCCAGCCAUUUCCAAUGGGAAUUCCUCCUGGCAAUACCACAGGGGAUCUCUCCAGCAAUCCCCACCAGGGACGGGGGAUUCCUCUUGGUAUUCCCUUCAUGAAUUUUUCUAGCCAUUCUCACCGGGGAAUUUUCCAGGCAUUCUCACCAGGGAUUUUUUCUGCGAUCUCCAUCGAGGAUUCCUCUAGCGAUUCCCAGCUGGGAUUCUUCCUGGCGCUCCCACCGGGGAUUCUUCCAGCGAUCUCCUCUAGGGAUUUCCCAAGCCAUUCUCGCUGGGGAUUCCUCCAGCAAUUCCCACCCGUUCCCACUGCACUAAGGAUUUCCCCAGCUAUUCUCACCGGGGAUUCCUCCUGCCAGUCCCAGCAGGGGUUCCCCCAGGCAUUGCCAUCGGGGGUUAUUCCAGGAAUUUCCGGUGAUUUCUUGCAUUUCCAAAAAGGAUUCCCUAGGGGAUUCCUCCAGAUCAGGAGUGUAUCGGAAAUCACCAUAUAAAACAUAUGAUCCAAUUUGUAUUGGUUCAAAUGCUGUUGUAAAUAAUAUAAUUUAUGAUUAUUUUUUCACAGAGUUAUCUUUUACUUCUGAAACUUCAAAAAUAUUUUAGGCACCAAAUAUAUUUUAAUCAUUUCCGGUUUUUUGUGAUUGAUUAAUCAUGAUUUUUAUUCAAUAAGCCAUUUUAAUCAUUAAUCAUAAUCAAUAAUCACAGAUAAAACCAAUUUUAAUCAUUAAUCAUAAUCUUUAAUCAUCCUAAAUAUCAUAUUAAUCAUAAUCAAUAAUCACUGAAAUUGGACUUUUAAUCAUCAAUGGUUAAUCAUGAUUGAAAGUUUUGUUAAUCAUGACCGCUCUGAUAGUCAAGUUUAGAACAGCCUGAAGAAAUUUGAAAAAAUGAUAAGUAUUAUUGAAGAUAUGGAUGAAUGAAUUCAUCUCACAAAUUAAAGUAUUGGGCAAAUUGCUGUUUUUUUUUAUUUUUCAGCGUUUUAAUAACCUGUAGCGAAUAAAAAUUGUACGCUAAAAAAUAAUGCAAUAAUAUGAAUAAUUGUUAGCAGUUAUGUACGCAUGACAUGUCACCGAACACCGACUCAUUUUUGUUUAUUUUUGAUCGAAAAACUCUCCACAUUAAGAAACUGGCCUGAGAAAAUACCUACUAAUUUUUGGUCGAACAUUGACACUCUGUUUUAAAUGGUUUCGAAUGUUAUAAUUCCGUUCUCUAGUAAAACUACCUCGCCAAUAAGUUCAAAAACAUGCCCUUUGAAGAAGUAUCCCUGAAAAAUGACCUUUUUUAUUUUUAAGAAUUGCGCUAAAAUGGAGUCGAUUUUUUCAAACAUUAAUUUACUUAUAUCAUGAGCAAUCUGGAAAAGAAUAUAUAUGCCCAAACAUGUUAAUAAAAUUAAAUCAUUUUCACACAGUUUUCGCAAUUGCAAAUUUUGAAGAGUUGUCCGGAAUUUUAAAAACAUACGUUUAAACUUUGAAAUGAAUAUCCAUGUUUAAUAAUAAUUUUUAGAAAAGCAAUAGUGCCAUUCCUUUUACUAAUGAUUAUUAUCUCCAGAAAUAAAAAUUAUUUAUAAUUCGAAAAAAAUAUUAUUUUUAAGCAGUUUUGAACAUUUUCAGUUACUUUUCGAUACACUGCUUAUUCCUAUCGGUAAAAAAUACAUAAUAUAGCAAACAUUGAACUAGUAUUGCGAAUAUUUUGUAUAGUUUUUCUUUCGUUGCGCAAUUUGCGCGCCGGUCAGUUACGCGCAGCUCCACUCCAGUUGCGCGCAGCCAAUCAGGAGCAAGGAAGCAGACGACGUCGUUGCACGCCAAAGCUACUCGCAGCACGUUUCUAUUGUCUGCGACCAAAACAAACAUCGACGCUCGCCCACCGGCUGAUUGUUGUUGUUGAUAACUUGCGUGGAAAGGUAAGUUAACUCAUUAUGGUCCCUUUCGAGAUUGUUUUAAUGAAAUGGAAAUAAAACAAUAUUUUCUGGAAUUGUUACUGAUUCGAUUGGUUGUGCCAUUAUUUGUUGCAUUCAGUCUUGUACUGAUCGAACGCGGUUGAUACCGGUUGGGUAUGUUUUAAGUAAUACAAAUAUGGAUACUGCCCAUGAUAAGAGAUUCACUCUUGCGCACAACUGACUGACAGAUCGGUAAAAGUGUGAAACUAAAAUUUUUCUUGCUAAGCGCAAUACACUUAAUUUCAAAGCGCAUGCGUAAAAGUGCUUAGAAUAGGGGCUGGACACGGUUCAAUUUUUUUUAAUGGAUUACCCGCUUCGGCGGAAAUUGCAACAGAUGGCGCUAGUGAGCAGGAGUUUUUCACCUUUGAAAAUGUAUGAAGAAAAUGAUAAAAAUCAGUUUUUAGACUAAAACAGAUUUUUUUCAGAAAAAAUAUUUGGUACAGAUUGUAGGCUAUAAUGAUAGCAAUCUACGUUACCAAAUAUUUUUUGUGUAAAUUUCUUAAUAUUCAAAAUAUUUGAAAAAAUGUUCAAAUCGCCAUACAUUUUUGUCGACCGAAAACUUCUCCUCGAUAUUGGUUGCUCUUCCUUUUCUCAUACAUGGAAUCACGUAUGUACAUGGAGUAAUGUUUACUUACCCAACUGUCAAAUAGAAAUAAAACGAAGAACGAAAACAAAGUUUACAACGGCGCAGGACGGCAGUCACGAACGGAAAACAAAAAAAAAAUAAAUGAAAAGUAAAAACGGUGCGUUCCGGAACUUCGAUCAGCAGAAUCAACGUCGUCCGCAGAUAAAUGUUUGUCGCUGGAGCUUCAAUUUGUAUCAGAAACGAUGGACGAGCUUCUGAAGUGUGAUGAAUUACGUCUGAUCGUCUCGGGAGUAUUCCUUGGGCCUUAAUGAAGGCAAUACCUUUGUUGGGAACCACCAGAGCUUGGUCUUGUCUACUUCGACGCUGGCUUUCAUGUUGAAGCGCAUUGCUGUUGACCCAUGGACGGUUAGACGGGACGAAGCAAACUUCCGACGGCAAUGUGCUGAUGAAGAGUGUCCAGGUGUUGCGCACCUUCGUGCUAAUUCAAGAAGGAAGUCUGCUCAAACAUCGGAGAGAAUCAACAACCCAGCAGCAAGGUAGGAAAUUGGGAGCCGGAGGGGUAAGAUGGUUCACCGAAGAAAUGGAUCUCGAUACUAAACACAAAUCCAAUUAGGUGCUCUAUGUUCUUCUACGACUUUUCAAUAUACCAAUCAGCUGAUGAUAUAUCACGAUUGGAAGGUCAUACAAUUUGAUACCUAUUUUUUCAAGGGUUCGUUCAGGACUUCUACAAGAAUUCUUCCGGAGUUCCUUUAGCGAAUCUAUGGGUUCCUCAAGUAAUUUGUCCAGGCGUUUCUUGUAGGAUUCUUUACAGGAGUUUCUUUAUGCAAUCUUUUUGGAGUUUUUUCAUGGAUUCCUCCAGGAUUUAGAGAUUCCUCCAGGAGUUCUUCCGGUGGUUUCUUUGAAUAUUUUUUUCUCCAAGUGUUCCUCCAGAAGUUUCCUCGGAGAUUCGUCCAAGAGUUCCUUCAAAGUUUAUUUCAGGAGUUCCUUCAGAGAUUUCUCAAGUAGUUCCAUUAGCGAGGCAUUUUGUAAGGAAUACCAAUAAUAUCUUUCCAGGAGUGGUCCUAUAACAGUUCCCCGAAUUCCACUACCCCGAAAACCAUCUCCCCGAAAACCAAUACCCCGAAUGGUCCAGUACCCCGAAUUCCAAUACCCCGAAUAACAUUACCCCGAAUGUUCCAUUUCCCCGAAUGCCAUUACCCGAAUAGCCCAUUUCCCCGAAUAGAUGAUUACCCCGAAAACAUAUUUUUCAAUUGUGUUGUCAAAGGAAAAUGUUGUCUGGAAAAAUGAACUUAAUUUUUAUCAGUAAUUUUUCCUUCUUUUGUGCAUCGGCUAUUCUUUCUAGACUUAGGCGUUUAUAUUAAGAUUAUGGUGUGGAGCAAAUGCAUUUAAUGGAGAUUUUUCCUUCUUUUAUCGUAGGUUGUUUUUUCGUCUCAUAUUGCUACCGUGAUUAAUUGUUUAGCUUAUCAGUUUUAGGGCAAGUUGUACACAGUCCAUGAAGCAAAGUGGAACUGUCAUAGGCAGUUUGAAUUGGAUAGAGGCGAUAGAGGAGCAGUACCCUAUAUAACUCGCCUAAUCAUUUCACUGUACUGCUUUUUCUAUUUAUUCUAAAUGAGCUACAGAGGAUGGCCAGAAUGUUUGGGAUAGGCAACUUUUUUUCUCCCACAAAAAAAAUAAACAUGCUGUAACUUUUCAUAGAGUGCAUAAAAAAAUCAAAAUCUGAAAUUUUGACUGUUUGUCAACCUGCAUCAUUGGUACAAAUUUGGGCUGGAUUGAUUAAUUUUUCGCGAAGUUAGAACCGUUUGGGUAGAACACUAUUAUUUAGACAACUAAUUGUUGAACUGUCAUAUCUCGGAAACCAGUGAACCGAAUUGAAUGAAUUUUAUAACGUUUAUCAACAAUAUAUUGAUACUUAAUACGACGUUAUAAAAUGUAAUAUUUUCUCACGGCGAAUUAAGUUAUACCGGAUUGAAAUUUUUACCCAUAUAGAGGAAAAUAAGUCAAAUUAGCAAUACCACACAAAAAUUACUAAAUGUGUUCUUCCUUCAAUCUAAAAAGGCUCUAAUAUAUCUGAUUAGAGAUAACAUGAGAACAGAAGUGGAAAAUCUUUAGAUAUCAACACUAAAAUGUAUUGACAUUGAUGUAAAAAAAUACAUUUUUUCAAGAAAAAUCCAAAAAGUGUCAAUCUAUGAUAACUUUUCUCAACGUUCAAAAAGUUUCUAUGUUUUAAUAGUUUGUGAAGCAUUUGUAUAUUGUUAGUAUACGUUCAAAAUUUCAUUCAAUUCGGUUCACUGGUUUCCGAGAUAUGACACCUCAAAAAUGAGUUGUUUGAAAAAUAGUGUUUUACCCGAACGGUUCUAACUUUGCGAAAGAUUUAUCAAUCGAGCCCAAAUUUGUACCAAUGAUGCACACAUAAUAGGUUGACAAACAGUCAAAAUUUGAGAUUUUUUGUUGCGCCCUAUGAAAAGUUAUAAAUAGCUUGUUGAACUUUUUUGUGAGAGAAAAAAAAGUUGCCUAUCCCAAACAUUUUGGCCAUCCCCUGUAUUUCUUUAUUCUCUCAUUAUUCCCAGACUCGAAAGAACAGCAGUUAAACAAAAGAAGGAAAAAUACCUGAUAUUAAGUUUCAUACUGUUUGCAUUCAUUAUCAGUGCAGCACCAUUUACAUAUAUUAUAGGUGAAAACUAUUCCAGCAAAUAAAAAAUUCUGGGGUAAAAGUCUUAUGAAUUAAAAGACAGGAAGUAGCAUUUGGGGUAAGUGUCAUUCGGGGAAAUGGUUUUCGGGGUAACGGUAUAUUCGGGGAAAUGGCUCUCGGGGUAAUGUGUCAUUCGGGGUAACUGUCUAUUCGGGGUAUUGAUUUUCGGGGAAGUGGUAUUCGGGGUAAUAGUAUUCGGGGAACUGUUAUAGGAUCCUUUCAGGCAUACCGCCAGUAACUCCUCCUGUGAUUCCUCCAGGAUUUCCUCCAAGGUUUAUUCCAGAUUUUUUCAGAGAUUUCUCAAGGAGUUUUGCAGGGAUGCCUCCAAGGUUUUUUUUUCUCAGGAACUUAUGUAGCAGUUCCUUCAAAGUUUAAUCCAGUAGGUUCUUUAAGGCUUUUUUAUGGAAUUCCAUUCGGAAUCCUACCAGAAGUCCCUUCAGAGAUUUCGUCAUGGAAUCCUACUAGAGAUUUUUCUGGGAUUCGUCCAGGAUUUCUUUUAGCGAAUCUUCCUGGAGUUCCUUCUAGAAUCUUCCAGCUGUUCUUUCAGGGACUCCUCCAUGAGUUUCUGCAGGGAUUCUUUCAAGAGUUCCUUCACACAUUUACUCAGGAAUUUCUUCAUAGUUUCCUUCAGGAACUCCUUCAAGGUUUAUUCCAGGAGUUCCUUCAAGGAUUUCUCAAAGAGUUCCAUCUCCUUUCGGGUGUUCCUUCAGGGAAUCUAUUUAGAGUUCUUUCACGGAUUCCUCCAAGGAUUGCCUUAAGUAAUUCCUUCUGGAGUUCUUCUAAGGGAUUUCUUCAGGGAUUCCCAGACUUCCCCGCAGGCUUGCUUCCAGGAAUAAUUUCGAGAUUUAUCAUGGGUAUUCCUCCAAGAGUUACUUCACAUUUUUUCAGGAAUUUCUUCACAGAUUUUUUCAGGAGCACCUUCAAGGUAGAAUUCAUAAACCUUCAGAAAAUUACCCAGGAGUUCCUAUCGGGAUUCCUUCAGGAAUUCCUCAAGGCAUUUAUCCAGGAGUUCCUUCAGAGAUUGUUCCAAGGUUUAAUCCAGGAGUUCCUUUAAAAAGUCCCAUUUGGGAUUCUUCCAAGAGUUCCUUCAGGGAUUUUUCCUGGAGUUUAUAUCAGGAUUCCACCAGGAGUUCCUUCAAGGAUUUAUUCAGGAGUUCCUUCGGCGAAUCUGCCAAAUGUAUCUUCAAGGUUUUCUCAAGGAGAUCCAUCCGGAAAUCUUCCAAGAGUUCCUUCAGAGAUUGUUCCAAGGUCAAACCCAAUUCUUUUAGGAAGAACCAUUUGGGAUUCUUCUGAGAGUUCCUUCAGGAUUUUUUCCAGGAAUAACUUCAGGGAUUCCACCAGAUGUUCCUUCAGGGAUUCAUCCAGGAGUUCCUUCAGGGACUUAUUCAGAAGUUCAAUCCAGUGAUUCCUUCAGAGAUUGUUCCAUUGUUUAAUCCAGGAGUUGCUUCAAGAAGUUUCAUUUGGGAUUCUUCCAAGAGUUGCUUCAGGGGUUCCUCCAGGAGUUCCUUCUGGGAUUCUACCAGGGGUUCCUUAAGGGAUUUAUCCAGGAGUUACUUCAAGGAUUCCUCCAAGAGUUCUUUCCGAGAUUUAUCCAGGAGUUCCAUUAUUGAUUCUCCCAGGAGUUCCUUCAGGGAUUUAUCCAGGAGUUUUAACCGGGCUUCCUUCAAGAUUUCCUCCAGUGAUUCAUCCAGGAGUUGAUUCAGGGAUUUCUCCAACGGUUCCCUCAGGGAUUUAUCCAGGAGUUCCAUCCGGGAUUCCACCAGAAGUUUUUUCAAGGAUUAUCCAGGGUUCCUCAGAGAUUCCUUCAACAGAGAUUGCUCCAAGAUUUAACCCAGCAGUUCCUUUAAGAAGUUCCAUUUGGAGAGUUCCUUCAGGGAUUUAUUCUGGAGUUCCUUUCGGGAUUCCACUAGGAGUUCUUUCAAGGAUUUAUCCAAGAGUUCCUUCAGGGAUUUUUUCAAGAGUUUCUUCAGGGAUUCCUUCAAAUGUUCCUUUAUGAAUUUGUUAAGGAUUUCCUUCAGGGAUUUAUCCAGGAGUUCCUUCAGAGAUUGUUCAAAGGUUCAAUCUAGGAGUACCAUUUGGGAUUCUUCUGAGAGUUCCAUCAGGGGUUUUCAAGGAGGAUUCCACCAGGAGUUGUUUCAGGGAUUUAUGCAGGGAUUCCUUCAGGGAUCCCUCCAGGAGUUCCUUCAGUGAUUUAUCGAGGAACUCCUUUAGUGUUUUCACCAGGAGUUCCUUCAGGGAUUGCUCAAGGAGUUUCAUCAGAAGUUGCUUCUGGGAUUAAUUCCAGGAGUUCCUUCAAGAAGUUUCUUUUGAGAUUCUUCCAGGAGUUGUUUCAGAGAAUCCUUUUGGAGUUUUUUAAUGGUUCAAUCCAGGAAUUCCUUCAGGGAUUUCGCAAGGAGUUCCAUUGGGGAUCCUUCCAGGAGUUCUUCCGGGAAAUCCUCCUAAUGUUCUUUCAUGGAUUCAUCUUGGAUUUUUUUAAAAAAAUCCUCCAGGAGUUCUUCCAGUGAAUCCUUCUGGAGAUCUUCCAGGGAUUUCUUCGGGGAUUCCUCCAGGAGUUCAUUCAAGAUUUAUUCCGAGAGUUCCUGUAGAAAUUUUUCAAAGGAAUCCAUUAGAAAUCCUUCCAGGAGUUCCUUCAGGGAUUUCUCCAGAAGAUCCUUCAAAAAUUUAUCCAGGAGUUCCUUCACAGAUUCCUUCAAAAGUACCUUCUAAGUUUAAUCAAGAAGUUCCUUCAGGGUUUUUUCGAGAAGCACCAUUAGGGUUCGUUCCAGGAGUUCCUUGAGGGAUUCCUCUUAGAGCUCAUUUAUGGUUUUUUUUCCAAGAUUUCUCUUAGGGAUUUCUCCAGGAAUUCGUCAAGUGCUUACUAGGUAGCGGUAUUUAAAACAAUGCCCAGGAGUUCUUCCAGUGAAUCCUUCUGGAGAUCUUCCAGGGAUUUCUUCGGGGAUUCCUCCAGGAGUUCAUUCAAGAUUUAUUCCGAGAGUUCCUGUAGAAAUUUUUCAAAGGAAUCCAUUAGAAAUCCUUCCAGGAGUUCCUUCAGGGAUUUCUCCAGAAGAUCCUUCAAAAAUUUAUCCAGGAGUUCCUUCACAGAUUCCUUCAAAAGUACCUUCUAAGUUUAAUCAAGAAGUUCCUUCAGGGUUUUUUCGAGAAGCACCAUUAGGGUUCGUUCCAGGAGUUCCUUGAGGGAUUCCUCUUAGAGCUCAUUAAUGUUUUUUUUCCAAGAUUUCUCUUAGGGAUUUCUCCAGGAAUUCGUCAAGUGCUUACUAGGUAGCGGUAUUUAAAACAAUGCGAGGGCCGUGAUUGUGCGAUAGACGAUAUAGAGUAUUAGAAAUAACCGUUAAAAUAAUACACGAUGGGAAGGGUAAAUUGAGAUGCUCACUUUGGAAGUUGUGAAUUCGUUCUUAUUGUAAUUUUUAUCUUUUUGUUUAACACUUACAGUUUCUUCUGGCAUGCAUGGCUGUUCAAUAUAUCUGGCGACCUACAGCGUUGUACUGUUAUUAUUGUUAUUUUUGUGAGUAAUAAAAAGAACCUUGGGGUUGGGGUCUUCUGUUGGACACUAUAAAAAAAUCCGAAAAUCCAUGGGUAGGUUCACCAUCUUUUCCAAAGUUGAAAGUAUCAAACAGUGCGUAAGUGAUUAAUGCAUUUAGUUUUUAAGAAGCUUCGGUGUGACGCAUUACAUGACUAUUUUUAUUUAUUCAUACACUUUCGCUUACAUUUUUGAAAAAUAGUACAUACGUGAUAUUGAUAACCUCGUUCAUCAAGUCUUCUCAAACUUUUUAUAUUGCGCGCAAACCCCAACAUUUUAUUCCCACCUUUGGGUUUCCGCGCCGAAGACCCAGCGCCAGAUUCGGCGACAAAGAAAACUGACAGCAGUCGCCGAACAGUUGGCAAUCCUGAUAUUUGACGGCGGCCGCCCGGUAGGCAUGUGAGUGGAUUGUUGUCACGCAAAUAGAUCUUUUCGCUGAAAAUGCAUGUGUAUUGAGUUAUUCUUGACAGAUUUUCUGCAGUGUUAGUGUGAAAUUCAGCGAUUUUCUGUAUCGCGUAAGCCUUCGCUGGAAGAAAACGUCAUGUUGUUCAGCGAAGUAAGGAAAAUUUUCAGUGAAAAAAGCAAUAUUUCAUAUAAAAUUCUUAAGUCAAAUCAGAAACAAUCAAAGCUGGUUCACCAAGUUCUCCCAAGUUGCGAGGUGACGCAUUGCAAGACUAUUUUCAAAUCAUAUUUUUUCUUCUUAAAUUUUAAAAUAUUUCAUAUAAAAUUCUUAAGUAAAAUCAGAAACAAUCAAAACUGGCUCAUCAAGUUCUCCCAAGUUGCGAGGUGACGCAUUGCAAGACUAUUUUUAAAAGCGAGGACGCAUUGCAAGACUAUUUUUAAAUCAUAUUUUUUUCUCUUAAAACUUUAAAUAUUUCAUAUAAAAUUCUUAGGUAAAUUCAGAAACAAUCAAAGCUGGUUCACCAAGUACUCCCAAGAUGCGAGGUAACGCAUUGUAAGUUAUAUCAUUCCUAGAACAAUGAAACACUUUAUAAGACAUUUUUGCGAUUAUUCUGAAAUAGUCGGAGCUGGUUCACCAAGUUCUCCCAAGAUGCGUGGUGAUUCAUUGAAAGUUAUAUCAUAUUCUUUCCCUAAAACAUUGAAAUACUUGCUGGUUCACCAAGUUUUCCCAAUAUGUGAGGUGACGCAUUGUAAGUUAUAUCAUUCUUAGAACAAUGAAACACUUUAUAAGACAUUUUUGCGAUUAUUCUGAAAUAGUCGGAGCUGGUUCACCAAGUUCUCUCAAGAUGCGAGGUGAUUCAUUGAAUUCUUUCCCUAAAACAUUGAAAUACUUGCUGGUUCACUAAGUUCUCCCAAGAUGCGAGGUGACGCAUUGUAAGUUAUAUCAUUCCUAGAACAAUGAAACACUUUAUAAGACAUUUUUGUGAUUAUUCUGAAAUAGUCGGAGCUGGUUCACCAAGUUAUCUCAAGAUUCGAGGUAAUUCAUUGAACGUUAUAUCAUAUUCUUUCCCUAAAACAUUGAAAUACUUGCUGGUUCACCAAGUUCUCCCAAUAUGUGAGGUGACGCAUUGUAAGUUAUAUCAUUCCUAGAUCAAUGAAACACUUUAUAAGACAUUUUUACGAUUAUUCUGAAAUAGUCGGAGCUGGUUCACCAAGUUUCCCCAAGAUGCGAGGUGACGCAUUGAAAGUAAUAUCAUUCCUAGAACAUUCUUGCCAUUAGUCUGAAAUAGUUGAAGCUGGUUCACCAAGUUCUCCCAAGAUGUGAGGUGACGCAUUGUAAGUUAUAUCAUUCCUAGAACAUUGAAACACUUUAUAUAAGACAUUUUUACCAUUAGUCUGAAAUAGUUGAAGCUGGUUCAUCAAGUUCUCCCAAGAUGCGAGGUGACGCAUUGAAAGUUAUAUCAUUCCUAGAACAUUGAAACACUUUAUAAGACAUUUUUGCGAUUAGUCUGAUAUAGUCGAAGCUGGUUCACCAAGUUCUCUCAAGAUGCGAGGUGAUUCAUUGAAUUCUUUCCCUAAAACGUUGAAAUACUUGCUGGUUCACCAAGUUCUCCCAAGAUGCGAGGUGACGUAUUGUAAGUUAUAUCAUUCCUAGAACAUUGAAACACUUUAUAAGACAUUUUUGCGAUUAUUCUGAAAUAGUCGGAGCUGGUUCACCAAGUUCUCCCAAGAUGCGAGGUGACGCAUUGAAAGUAAUAUCAUUCCUAGAACAUUGAAACACUUUAAAUAAGACAUUCUUGCCAUUAGUCUGUAAUAGUUGAAGCUGGUUCAUCAAGUUCUCCCAAGAUGCAAGGUGAUGCAUUGAAAGUAAUAUCAUUCCUAGAACAUUGAAACACUUUAUAUAAGACAUUCUUGCCAUUCGUCUGAAAUAGUUGAAGCUGGUUCAUCAAGUUCUCCCAAGAUGCGAGAUGACGCAUUUAAAGUUAUAUCAUUCUUUCUCCAAGAACAUUGAAAAACUUUAUAAGACAUUUUUGCGAUUAGUCUGAUAUAGUCGAAGCUGGUUCACCAAGUUCUCCCAAGAUGCGAGGUGACGCAUUGUAAGUUAUAUCAUUCCUAGAACAAUGAAACACUUUAUAAGACAUUUUUGCGAUUAUUCUGAAAUAGUCGGAGCUGGUUCACCAAGUUCUCUCAAGAGGUGAUUCAUUGAAUUCUUUCCCUAAAACAUUGAAAUACUUGCUGGUUCACCAAGUUCUCCCAAGAUGCGAGGUAACGCAUUGUAAGUUAUAUCAUUCCUAGAACAUUGAAACACUUUAUAAGACAUUUUUGCGAUUAUUCUGAUAUAGUCGGAGCUGGUUCACCAAGUUCUCCCAACAUGCGAGGUGACGCAUUGAAAGUAAUAUCAUUCCUAGAACAUUGAAACACUUUAUAUAAGACAUUCUUGCCAUUAGUCUGUAAUAGUUGAAGCUGGUUCAUCAAGUUCUCUCAAGAUGCGAGGUGACGCAUUGAAAGUUAUAUCAUUCUUUCUCCAAGUACAUUGAAAAACUUUAUAAGACAUUUUUGCGAUUAGUCUGAUAUAGUCGAAGCUGGUUCACCAAGUUCUCUCAAGAUGCGAGGUGAUUCAUUGAAUUCUUUCCCUAAAACGCUGAAAUACUUGCUGGUUCACCAAGUUCUCCCAAGAUGCGAGGUGACGCAUUGAAAGUAAUAUCAUUCCUAGAACAUUGAAACACUUUAUAUAAGACAUUCUUGCCAUUAGUCUGUAAUAGUUGAAGCUGGUUUAUCAAGUUCUCUCAAGAUGCGAGGUGACGCAUUGAAAGUUAUAUCAUUCUUUCUCCAAGAACAUUGAAAAACUUUAUAAGACAUUUUUGCGAUUAUUCUGAAAUAGUCGGAGCUGGUUCACCAAGUUCUCCCAAGAUGCGAGGUGACGCAUUGAAAGUAAUAUCAUUCCUAGAACAUUGAAACACUUUAUAUAAGACAUUCUUGCCAUUAGUCUGUAAUAGUUGAAGCUGGUUCAUCAAGUUCUCUCAAGAUGCGAGGUGACGCAUUGAAAGUUAUAUCAUUCUUUCUCCAAGAACAUUGAAAAACUUUAUAAGACAUUUUUGCGAUUAGUCUGAUAUAGUCGAAGCUGGUUCACCAAGUUCUCCCAAGAUGCGAGAUGUCGCAUUGUAAGUUAUAUCAUUCCUAGAACAUUGAAACACUUUAUAAGACAUUCUUGCCAUUAGUCUGAAAUAGUCGGAGCUGGUUCAUCAAGUUCUCCUAACAUUGAAAAACUUUAUAAGACUUUUUGCGAAUUCUCAAGCAUUUUUCUGAUUGCCCUGAAACCUGAUUGCCUUCAAACUGCAUCUCAGGAUCAAAGCCCCCGGUGGGAAGUAGAAAUGUAGCAAUGAAAGUUGGGGGAGUGUGAUAUUCAGUGCAGCUAAAGAAGCUUGAUUUAUACAAUGAAUUUUAUUUGAUUGUUUUCAUUAAACAACAUUAACUUCGACUAAAGCCGGAGAAAAGGUUUCAACAAUCUCUGUUCAAUCAUUUCCAUUACCGAUCGGACUACCAGCUGUCGUCGUCGUCGUCAAAUGAACCGGAUUGUAGAUGCCCAAAUUUUUGGCUUUGGGCCAUGGAUCACGUCCUCGGAGCCGACAUCUAAGCGAACCAAGUUCAGCAGAUUAGACUCUUCCUCGUAUCUGCCUGCCACAGAUCCCUCCGGUGAGUCCUGUCGGGUUAACAAUCCAAACUGAAUACUGCCAGUACCUGGAGCUACGUUGGCGGAAGCCCUAGCAUCGGUUCCGGAUCUUGGGAAGACGUCUUAAAGGCCACUGCGCACUGUUCACUAAAUCGGAGGGCUGGGGCUGCUUCAACUUUUCCACUAGUCCGUUGGCCGAUUCUUUCAUUUCGAUCCAUCAGGAGGCAAUCCUGACCUGAAAAACAUAUACAUUUUUUUCUUUGGGCAUAACAACGAUGGUACACAAGACUUACCUUCCAUCCUCCAGUGGAAACUUCUGAUUUUCACUGACUUUCUUCGGGAAUCUUCUCGCAUCGCAUGCUUUUUUGGGAAUUUGUUGUACCAACCGUUUUCAGCCACUGAAUAAAACCCGCAAACUCAAAUAAAAUACGUGCGUUUUUUCCGAUUCAGUUUUUGUACCUAUCGUUGUUUUGCUGCGAUCACGACUUCUUUUUGUUGUUGCGGUCCUACACAAAAUGAGCUGUCAAAAAUUUCGCAUCAGCAGCUUUACCGUACUGCACCGAUUUUCGGCACAAAAUAAAUAUUUAAUCUUUUCAAAUGCACUUUUUUAACCAAAAUAAUUACAUUUCCUUUGCCUCAUAAAAAAUGCAAUAGAAAUUUAAAACAAUGCACUGCAAGGUGUACUAAAAUGGUCUUCUUAAGUUCAAUCAGGAGUAAAAAUUAAUAAAUUAUUAUUUUCCCAAAUUCGGUGUAAUCACUGUAAGCUUGUAUGCACUAUCGUGUCGCCAUCUGUUGGAGUUUGGUGGAACAUUAGAAUGUUUCCAUUAGUUUCCGAUAGAGUAAAAGUAUACUUGAAGCGCCUCUCGCGGUGAAAUAUGUCGGAAACCGGUGCAGGUAGUCCAUUAAGCAUCGGUUGAAAAGGAAAAUUUCAUUCUCUGCUUAAUUUUGCUCUUCUAAAACCGAAUAACGCGUCUAAAAUCUUACAACUAGUGAAUUUAAUACUUUAAAUGCGUUCUACAAAUCGUUCUAUAAAUCGUUCUAUAAAUCGUUUCUACAAAUAAACAAUCAAAACGACAACAGUUUGAAAAAAAUACAAACAUAGGUAUAGACAAAGCUGUAUUCGCAUCAUUCAAAAAUAAUGCUUUAUUUGUCAAUGAAAAUCCAAAUUUAUCUGGAUUUCUCAAUAAUGUACACACUUGGCCUUGCUAAUAUACAUACCUGAUACAAAUUGAAGCUCCAGCGACAAACAUUUAUCUGCGGACGACGUUGAUUCUGCUGAUCGAAGUUCCGGAACGCACCGUUUUUACUUUUCAUUUAUUUAUUUUUUUUUUGUUUUCCGUUCGUGACUGCCGUCCUGCGCCGUUGUAAACUUUGUUUUCGUUCUUCGUUUUAUUUCUAUUUGACAGUUGGGUAAGUAAACAUUACUCCAUGUACAUACGUGAUUCCAUGUAUGAGAAAAGGAAGAGCAACCAAUAUCGAGGAGAAGUUUUCGGUCGACAAAAAUGUAUGGCGAUUUGAACAUUUUUUCAAAUAUUUUGAAUAUUAAGAAAUUUACACAAAAAAUAUUUGGUAACGUAGAUUGCUAUCAUUAUAGCCUACAAUCUGUACCAAAUAUUUUUUCUGAAAAAAAUCUGUUUUAGUCUAAAAACUGAUUUUUAUCAUUUUCUUCAUACAUUUUCAAAGGUGAAAAACUCCUGCUCACUAGCGCCAUCUGUUGCAAUUUCCGCCGAAGCGGGUAA